rnacentral:rRNA from 1 species
UACGGGGGGGGCAAGCGUUGUUCGGAAUUACUGGGCGUAAAGGGCUCGUAGGUGGCCAACUAAGUCAGACGUAAAAUCCCUCGGCUUAACCGGGGAACUGCGUCUGAUACUGGAUGGCUUGAGUUCGGGAGAGGGAUGCGGAAUUCCAGGUGUAGCGGUGAAAUGCGUAGAUAUCGUAAGGAAGACCAGUGGCGAAGGCGGGUCUCUGGACAGUUCCUGACGCUGAGGCACGAAGGUCAGGGGAGCAAACGGG